AAGACUGACGCUCAGGUGCGAAAGCGUGGGGAGCAAACAGGGAUUAGAUACCCUGGUAGUCCACGCCGUAAACGAUGUCGACUUGGAGGUUGUGCCCUUGAGGCGUGGCUUCCGGAGCUAACGCGUUAAGUCGACCGCCUGGGGAGUACGGCCGCAAGGUUAAAACUCAAAUGAAUUGACGGGGGCCCGCACAAGCGGUGGAGCAUGUGGUUUAAUUCGAUGCAACGCGAAGAACCUUACCUGGUCUUGACAUCCACAGAACUUUCCAGAGAUGGAUUGGUGCCUUCGGGAACUGUGAGACAGGUGCUGCAUGGCUGUCGUCAGCUCGUGUUGUGAAAUGUUGGGUUAAGUCCCGCAACGAGCGCAACCCUUAUCCUUUGUUGCCAGCGGUCCGGCCGGGAACUCAAAGGAGACUGCCAGUGAUAAACUGGAGGAAGGUGGGGAUGACGUCAAGUCAUCAUGGCCCUUACGACCAGGGCUACACACGUGCUACAAUGGCGCAUACAAAGAGAAGCGACCUCGCGAGAGCAAGCGGACCUCAUAAAGUGCGUCGUAGUCCGGAUUGGAGUCUGCAACUCGACUCCAUGAAGUCGGAAUCGCUAGUAAUCGUGGAUCAGAAUGCCACGGUGAAUACGUUCCCGGGCCUUGUACACACCGCCCGUCACACCAUGGGAGUGGGUUGCAAAAGAAGUAGGUAAAGGAACCUUCGGGAGGGCGCUUACCACUU
rnacentral:rRNA from 1 species